rnacentral:tRNA from 1 species
GGUCAGAUAGCUCAGUUGGUAGAGCAGAGGACUGAAAAUCCUCGUGUCCCCAGUUCGAUUCUGGGUCUGACCACCA